rnacentral:lncRNA from 1 species
UGAAUGUCGAUCAGCUCUCCUGUGCUUUUUUUUGUGCGUGCUCCUUAAUCUCACAUCCUUUGACUCCCUCCCAGCUGCCUUUAUCCCAACCUAAUCCAUUUGUAUCUGAAUCACUGGCCCUCAUUUCUGAUUUCCCCACCACUCAUCUCUCUAAUCUACCAGCCCUCUAUCCCUGGAGGCAGCUCCUCCUCUGCCCCUCCCAGCAUACCAGGUCCCCUUGCUCUGCUAAAAACCUCUCUCAGCUGCUCAGCAUCAGCCUGGUCCUGGCUCAUUGCUGCCAGGUGGUUCCCUCACAGAUUUCCUUUACUGAUUUUCUCCCAGCCCUUGCUAUGCAUCCCUUAGGGGAACCUGUGUCACUCAUUCUGUGUGUUCCGUCAGCAAGUACUGAUUUCUUCAAAGUGAUCACUCCAGGUGUGUGACACAGUUAAUGCUGUAACCCAGAGGCUCUGCAGGACCUUUUCCAAAGCCCCAGUAAUCUCCAGGGUAACAUCUUAAGGCCAAAGCAUAUCUCUGUUUAUCUGAUUGUCCAAGAGACUGGGGAAUGCUCUAAACAAAAGUUGAGUCCAUCUGCAGUUAAAGGGAAGGGUAAAACCCAGCUGAAGUUCUGUGCUGAAGUCAUCAGGAGAGCUGAAAGAUUUCCCUCACCUUUUCCUUCUUGUUCCGGAAUCCCUGGAGGUUUGUCAUCAAACAUCCUCAUUCGUGACCCCCAAGGAAAAGGUAAAAGAGCUCCUUCUCAGUCUCUUCUGUCCAGGAGACUCAGUACUUUCAGAAAUCAGUUGUUUGAAGAGAUCCCAAACACCUGUGCCCAGGAACCUGAAUUGAUCCUGGACAUCUCGGUCUACCAAAGUGCAGCAGCCUGA